CAGCAGCCACGGGAAUACGAAGGGUGCAAGCGUUAAUCGGAAUUACUGGGCGUAAAGCGUGCGUAGGCGGUUUGUUAAGUCUGUUGUGAAAUCCCCGGGCUCAACCUGGGAAUGGCAAUGGAUACUGGCAAGCUAGAGUGUGUCAGAGGAUGGUGGAAUUCCCGGUGUAGCGGUGAAAUGCGUAGAGAUCGGGAGGAACAUCAGUGGCGAAGGCGGCCAUCUGGGACAACACUGACGCUGAGGUGCGAAAGCGUGGGGAGCAAACAGGAUUAGAUACCCGCGUAGUCCCUGUCUCUUAUAC
rnacentral:rRNA from 1 species